GGCAGAACAUUCUGCGCGGGGAAAAAAAGUGUUAAGUACUUUUAAAAUACGCAAUUUUUUGCGCUAACGCGAGUGAUAAAGUGUUUGCAAUAAUAGUAAAUAAUAUUAUAAUCUCACGUCUAAAAGAUAAAUAGCUAAUAACAACAAGCACACGACUAUAUUGACUUAUGGGGUAGUCGUACAGCGCAAGAUAAAUCAAACUACCCGCAUUUCACCGACCUUUGUUAAUACUAAAGUGAGCCGUAUCGCCUUCUGUAAUAGACGAUACUCGUAUAACGAACUUUGAUAGUCAUGAGACGAGUCUACGUCAGUCAUGUCAGGGGCCUUUGGCGGGUCAAUAACCAUGAUACCAGGGUUGAUGAGGUUGGUAAUCUACCCCAUAACCCACACGAUAAGAAGAAUACAGUGAAAAUUGUGCUUAUGAUAAAUUAAUAACUUACCGGACCUGUCAAAUCUUCAGGUUAGGUAAGUGGACCCUGUGGAAACGGGACAAUGCUGAUGAUGAUGAUAAAUUAAUAACUCAUUAGUGCAAAUCCGGUACCUACCGGGAAUCGAACCUGCUCUCCCCUCUUGAGAAGCAGAAAAUGACAGUGACUCUCUUGUGUGUGAAUAAUAGAUUAUAAUCAAGUACAAAAGUGGACUAAUGUGAUUACAUGCCGGUACCCCGCCGGAGAGGUGGCGAGAGCUGACGUCAACAAGAGGAUCCGUCCAUAUCCAAGAAGGUGGCCCAACGGACUGGUGAUCAUAGGAGGUCCUGCAUCGCACG